rnacentral:rRNA from 1 species
GACGAACGCUGGCGGCGUGCUUAACACAUGCAAGUCGAACGGAAAGGCCCUGCUUUUGUGGGGUGCUCGAGUGGCGAACGGGUGAGUAACACGUGAGUAACCUGCCCUUGACUUUGGGAUAACUUCAGGAAACUGGGGCUAAUACCGGAUAGGAGCUCCUGCUGCAUGGUGGGGGUUGGAAAGUUUCGGCGGUUGGGGAUGGACUCGCGGCUUAUCAGCUUGUUGGUGGGGUAGUGGCUUACCAAGGCUUUGACGGGUAGCCGGCCUGAGAGGGUGACCGGCCACAUUGGGACUGAGAUACGGCCCAGACUCCUACGGGAGGCAGCAGUGGGGAAUAUGGCACAAUGGGCGGAAGCCUGAGGCAGCAACGCCGCGUGCGGGAUGACGGCCUUCGGGUGGUAAACCGCUUUCGCCUGUGACGAAGCGUGAGUGAAGGUAAUGGGGAAAGAAGCACCGGCUAACUACGU